rnacentral:rRNA from 1 species
UACAGGGGGUGCAAACGUUGCUCGGAAUCAUUGGGCGUAAAGCGCACGUAGGCGGUUCGUUAUGUCGGAUGUGAAAGCCCUUGGCUUAACCGAGGAAGUGCAUCCGAAACUGGCGAGCUAGAGUACGAAAGAGGAUCGCGGAAUUCCCGGUGUAGAGGUGAAAUUCGUAGAUAUCGGGAGGAACACCUGUGGCGAAAGCGGCGCACUGGACCACAUCUGACGCUGAGGCGCGAAAGCUAGGGGAGCAAACAGG